rnacentral:lncRNA from 1 species
UGUUCUUUGUACCUGUUGCGAUAUUUUGGGUCGUUUUCAGCCCAGUUUGCACAGCACCCUUGGCCACGUUCGCAGCACCGGUGACCCCACUGCAGACAGUGUCCUUGGUACCGGUCAGCACGGUCUUGGCCGUGUCUACACCCAUCUGGACGGCCCCCUUGGCCACAUUCGCAGCACCGGUCACCCCACUGCAGACGGUGUCCUUGGUACCAGUUAGGACAGUCUUGGUGGUGUCCACACUGGUCUGGACAGUCCCUUUGGCGACAUUCACUGC